GCAAGUCGAGCGCACCUUCGGGUGAGCGGCGGACGGGUUAGUAACGCGUGGGAACAUACCCUUCACUAUGGAAUAGCCUCGGGAAACUGAGAGUAAUACCAUAUACGCCCUUCGGGGGAAAGAUUUAUCGGUGAAGGAUUGGCCCGCGUUUGAUUAGAUAGUUGGUGGGGUAAUGGCCUACCAAGUCUACGAUCAAUAGCUGGUUUGAGAGGAUGAUC
rnacentral:rRNA from 1 species